UCGCUGCGUUCGUGCCUGUGCGCUGCAACCUCGCCUUUGAAAGGACGACAACCUUGCUUUCUAAUUACAAGUUUAAUGUCUGCUUAAGACGAUGGACACAUUGCAAAUGGCGGCAGGAGUGGAUCGGCUACAUCGGUGAAGCGACGAUUUAUAUUACAAGAGAGGCUAAUUGUAUUCUUUCGUUACAGGUGAACGUGGGACUGUAUCGACUGCAAGGACGUAGUGUCCUGUCUCAACGGUCACGCAUAUGCGUGCAAAACUGCAGCUGCUUCUCACAUCGAAGAGGGAUCUGGUGCCACAUGCUCGGACAAUUAUUCGUCGGCCAUUUCGUUUGGGGAACUGUCGUGUUCGUCACUAAGGAUGGCCUUGGUUGAGCUUUGCAGUGCCAGCCUGGUGCAUCGGAGGGGUUGUGUCCAUGCAACGUGUGCUUCAUAUGUGUGUGUUGGGAUUUGUGAACCGUGUAUGCUUUCCAUUCAGCCAACGAUGAUGUACUGGAUGAAAUUUAAAGGAUUUUCCCCCUGUGAAGCACAACAUUAGAACCGAAACCCGACCCAUCGUGCAAGACCUCCUAAUAGUGAAAAGCUGAUGACGCCAGAAGAGGGUCUUUUUAGGAACGCGCCGCGUGGCAUACCAAUGGCAAGACGUGCACAGGUCGUCAAAGGAGGGAAUUC